GAUGAACGCUGGCGGCGUGCCUAAUACAUGCAAGUCGAGCGAACAGAUGAGGAGCUUGCUCCUCUGACGUUAGCGGCGGACGGGUGAGUAACACGUGGAUAACCUACCUAUAAGACUGGGAUAACUUCGGGAAACCGGAGCUAAUACCGGAUAAUAUAUUGAACCGCAUGGUUCAAUAGUGAAAGACGGUUUUGCUGUCACUUAUAGAUGGAUCCGCGCCGCAUUAGCUAGUUGGUAAGGUAACGGCUUACCAAGGCGACGAUGCGUAGCCGACCUGAGAGGGUGAUCGGCAACACUAGAACUGAGACACGGUCCAGAAUACUACGGGAGGCAGCAGUAGGGAAUCUUCCGAAAUGGGCGAAAGCCUGACGGAGCAACGCCGCGUGAGUGAUGAAGGUCUUCGGAUCGUAAAACUCUGUUAUUAGGGAAGAACAAAUGUGUAAGUAACUAUGCACGUCUUGACGGUACCUAAUCAGAAAGCCACGGCUAACUACGUG
rnacentral:rRNA from 1 species